rnacentral:rRNA from 1 species
UACGUAGGGUGCAAGCGUUAAUCGGAAUUACUGGGCGUAAAGGGUGCGUAGGCGGUUCGUUAAGUCUGUCGUGAAAUCCCCGGGCUCAACCUGGGAAUGGCGAUGGAUACUGGCGAGCUAGAGUGUGUCGGAGGAUGGUGGAAUUCCCGGUGUAGCGGUGAAAUGCGUAGAGAUCGGGAGGAACAUCAGUGGCGAAGGCGGCCAUCUGGGACAACACUGACGCUGAAGCACGAAAGCGUGGGGAGCAAACAGG